UUUAAGGUCUAACCUGCCCGAUGAGGAUUUAAAUGGCCGCAGUAUUUUGACUGUGCAAAGGUAGCAUAAUAAUUAGUUUUUUAAUUGGAAGCUAGUAUGAAUGGUUGGACGAGAAAAUAGCUGUCUUUAGGUAAUUUAAUUAGAAUUUUAUUUUUAAGUAAGAAAGCUUAAAUAUUUUUAAAAGACGAGAAGACCCUAUAGAAUUUAAUAUUUAUAUAGAUUUUAAUGUUUGUUGGUAUUAUUUAUUUUAAAUUUAUAUUAAUAUUUUAUUGGGGUGAUAGUAAAAUUAAAAUAACUUUUAUUUUUUAAAACAUUUAUUUAUGAGUUAUUGAUCCAUUAUUAAUGAUUAUAAGAUUAAAUUACCUUAGGGAUAACAGCGUAAUUUUUUUUUAGAGUUCUUAUUGUAAGGAAAGUUUGCGACCUCGAUGUUGGAUUAAAAUUAACUAUUGGUGUAGUGGCUAAUAAGUUAGGUCUGUUCGACCUUUAAAAUUUUACAUGAUCUGAGUUUAAACCGGUGUGAGCCAGGUUGGUUUCUAUCUUUAAUUAAUUAGAAUAUUUUAGUACGAAAGGACCAAAUAUUUAUAAAUUUUAUUUUUUUAUUGAAUAAUAUUAAUG
rnacentral:rRNA from 1 species